UGGGUUGUGGCUCAGUGGUAGAGCACUUGCCUAUCAUGUAUGAGGCACUGGGUUCAACACUCAGCACACCAA
rfam:Ictidomys tridecemlineatus contig074497, whole genome shotgun sequence.